CACAUUUCCCAGGAAGUGCUCAUGAGAACAAUGUUCUCUAGGUUCUUGUGUGUUACUAGCAGUUUGUGCUCUUCAUCCUUGAAGGUCAAUAAUAGGAUCAGCUCUUUUCUCUGCUGGUUCUUCAUUCUGGCCUUGAGGUGCGCUGAGAAAAGCCUUCCAGAGUGUCUUCAGUUUGUUUCCUGCCCUGCAGUCCGGCAGGUAGGGUUGUGGGCUGCAUCACCCAGGCCUGGGCAGCAGGGAAAUCGCAUAUUCCAAGCACCAUUCCGGCAGACUCUGAUGGAGCAUCUCGGAGAAGCUGUCUCCUACCAGCUAUAGAAGAAAAUCAAGAAGUGAGAAUUAAAAGAAUGAAGGACAGAGAAAAUGAAGUGAAAAAUAGAGCCGUUAGAGGUGGUGAUCGUGAAGUCUGAUGCCGAACUGGUUCUUUGAGAAAAUUGCACCUGCUUGCAUGUCCACUGACCAGCUGAAGGGCUGGCUAAGCUUCGUGACUGCUUUUCUUCCGCUCACCACUGGAAAAUCCACACUGGGCUCCCUCUAGGAGGAAUCCUGCUACCUGUGAUAUCCAAGUUCUGCCGCAGUGUGCACUGCAGUUUUCUCUGUGGAAGACCGUUCUACUUCAGGAUGAAAUAUCCUUCAACGACACCUGGGUGCCCUCGUCUAGCUGUUUUCCUGCUACGUCAGAGACAUUUUGGCUCCAUUCAGAGUCUCCUCCUUGACUACCAACCAGAUCUCCAAAGAAAUUUCAGUUCAGAAAAAAAGUUAAGACACCCUGCUGUAGAUGUGGGCUCUUCUUACCAGUUCCAAUACUUUCUUGAACCUCUCUGUAAGCAAUACGGAAAAGAAUGUAUCAGCCAGCAGCUGCAGAAGCUGCUCCCUCAGGUCAUAGGUUGCAAGCUUCUGGAGAGUGGGGAACAUGUAUUUUACCCCUACAUUUGUAUCCCUUGCAAGAUCUGAUUCACCGGAAGAAGUAUGCUAAGUUGUGGAGGGUUCCAGAAGGAGCCAAGCAGUGGUUUAUGGUGAAGGAGGAGAUUUCCACGUCAUGGGAAGUAUCUCAUCAUUUCAGCUGUAGCAAAGAAGCAGGGUGAGGUGCAGUGGUGGACUGGAAGGGGAUGGAUGUAAACAAGGGUCAUGAGGGCCAGUUCUAGAGAGACCUAUCUGGCUGGACAACUA